rnacentral:rRNA from 1 species
CCUACGGGUGGCAGCAGUGAGGAAUUUUCCGCAAUGGGCGCAAGCCUGACGGAGUCAUACCGCGUGAGGGACGACGCUUUGUGGAGUGUAAACCUCUUUUAUUCGGGAAGAAUUAAUGACGGUACCGAAUGAAUCAGCAUCGGCUAACUCCGUGCCAGCAGCCGCGGUAAUACGGAGGAUGCAAGCGUUAUCCGGAAUGAUUGGGCGUAAAGGGUCUGUAGGUGGUUGGGCAAGUCUGUUGUGAAAGCGUGGCGCUUAACGCCAUUGAUGCAAUG